rnacentral:lncRNA from 1 species
GUUCACUCUGGGUGGGGUGACUGUUCUGUGGUCAUGAGCUAGGGGCCCUGCCUGGUGAAGAUUGGGAGUGGGGGUUCCCAGGGAAGAGGGGCUAGACUCCUCUUUGUAUGGUGGCUAUGGUGUGCUGGAGGUGCCUGGGUAGUGCCUUUUAUCCUUUCCCCAGGCUGAGAGCUGUUAGGGCAGUAGCACUGCAAUUGCAGUGGCACAGGGGUUGUGGUUUGACUCUAAGAUUUCCUCCUUGGAGAAAUGCUGGUCUGCCUCUGUGGUGAUCAGACAGAGGCAGAGUGGUUGUGCUGGAGUCCCAGGUUGGAUAGCCCUCCCCAGUGAGAAGUGUGGACCGGGACCGGGACCGGGACCUGUAUGGAGAACAAUCUGGUAACUUUUCCAUGAGGUCCCUGUUCAGACCUGGGCUAUGGCAUGAAAAGCAUGGUGUCCACUGUUUCGUAUCCAUUUGCUCAUUUGGUCAGUUGUAAGGUGCAGCGCAACUGCUGGGAAGGUGGAACUGGAGAUGCAGGCAGUCCUCCCUGGAGCCCCAAAGAGCAAGUAGCUAGGCUGAGAGGCUAAAAAGAAUGAAAGAUUACAGCAAAAUGUCAAGAAGUGGUAAAGGAGGGCUGGAGGCACAAGAACAUUUACAUCUCACGCUGCUGACAGGCAGCCAGCUGGUGAUGGUGCCUCAGAGCAGCCAUGCAGAGAGAAAACCACCUCAGAGCAUGGGAGGCUGGUGGGAUCACAGGCCACCAUGCUCCUGGCAAGGAUGCGAUGAGAAUAGUGGAUUUGGAGAACAGCAAAUCCGCCACCUUGAAUAUCACUGACAGAACUCUGCAAAUAGACAUUGAAUAAACUUGGAGAAGAGGGUCAUGUGGAUCCUUCCAAAACACUUUCUCCAUGUGAUUUUCCUGAAGAGGAAUUAGCCAAAGAAGAUAAGGACCUGGAUCUCCCACACAACUGAGACAAUGCACAGGCAUACAAAAUUGGGGUUAAUAAGGGUGAGUUAUCCCAAAAAAAUACGGUAGCCUGCUCAGACAAGCACUCUGGUUGAGGGUAUCAAGUUUGUAUUCUUAAUUCCUGGAAUGUUGUCAAUUAAUGUCAAGUAAUCACCAAAUAAAAUCUGAGUCAACUGGAACAGAGACUUAAGCUACCUCAUGCUAUAGACAAAUUUAUUUGGCAUAAGAUUGAUGGAGCGCAUGAAAUUCACUCACCUCAUCAAGCCAGGAUUUCAAAAGUCAAAAUAUUUUUCAGGUUAGAGUGAGAAUCCCCUGAAAGGUGAUGAGGGAUGGCUGGAAUUAACCCAGUAGUACAUAUCAGGGCUGAGGGAACAAAGCUACAAUACAAUCCAUCUGAGGAGGAAAUUUUCCCUUAGGUUAGGGAAAUAACAUUAAUUAGAAUAUUUAUGUUGGGUUUAGGUUAUAAAUUCAGGCAUAGAAAUUUCUCUUUCCAUCCCCACCCAAUGAUAUCUGAGGAAUAUGAAAAAUAUAGGCCAGUAAUGAUUAAAAUUGUGGAUGUCAUCUGUUGAGGUCCUCUCAAACCCUGUGACAGUGACACUGGGAACAAUUCAUUUGGAAGAGAAUUAGGUAACACAUGCCCUUUGACCUACAGGUUCCAUUUCUUUUAUUAUUAUUAUUAUUAUACUUUAAAUUUUAGGGUACACG